rnacentral:lncRNA from 10 species
UGACCCUCCAAGUUGGGAGUUUCGAGGACCCCCUGAACUUAGAGCUCCUGGGCCGUCUUUCCCUGAGAAUGAAGCCAACACAGGCAGGAUUGAGCUUAGAGUCUGAAUUAGAUGGUGCCUAGUGACCGCCUCUGAACUCCUGGACCCAGCUACACCUGAAGCCACUCUACCCCACAUUUUCUAGGACUUUCCUGUAUGACUGCAUGGCUAAUAGCACUUCUCCUCGACACCGGUGCUGUUCUCGGAAUCCUAUCUAGAGCUUACAGCUUUCCCAGCCUCCUGGCUGCCUCCCCAUUUCCUCCCACACUGGUGAUCCCCCGAUGAAAUCCUCCUGCCCUUCAUCCUGUCUUGGCGUCUGCCUCGCGAUGACCCUGGGCUCACAGUCUGGCCACUGCAGCUGAGUGUCGCACUGGCUCAGGUGUGGCAACACGGGGGUUGAAAGGCUCUGAACCAGGCACCAGGAGCCCUGCGCCCCAGGCCAGCCCUCCGCAAACCAGCUUUGUGUCCUCGGACAACUCCAGGCCCAUCCUGGGUCUUGCUGUCUGGAGAGAGGAGGAAGCCGGCCACACUCUCCAAGAACAUUCAGCCUCCGCACUGCAUGGCCUCUGCUUGGUUUCUGGCUGGGCCCAGGGCUCUGCUUGCAGUGUGGAGCCGCAGUGGUGGGUCCCCAUGCGAGCCCCCGCCACUGUCUGCUGUCAUCACCGGCCCAGAUGCCCUUGCCACACAGCACCAUUUCCAACUGCGAAGGCCUCCGUGUGGCGCCUGUCGGGACAACACGGCCGGCACAGGCUGGGCUGGGGGAGAAAGGGUGCUGGGCAGCUCUGUGCCCUGCGACUUUGUGGGUCUGCUGGGCUGUCCUUGUCUUGAAAACAUUGUAUUUUUGACUCCUAUAAAGUAGUGGAGAUAA